rnacentral:rRNA from 1 species
AGAGUUUGAUCAUGGCUCAGAUUGAACGCUGGCGGCAUGCCUUACACAUGCAAGUCGAACGGCAGCACGGGAGCAAUCCUGGUGGCGAGUGGCGAACGGGUGAGUAAUAUAUCGGAACGUGCCCAGUCGUGGGGGAUAACGCAGCGAAAGCUGUGCUAAUACCGCAUACGAUCUCUGGAUGAAAGCGGGGGACUCGCAAGGGCCUCGCGCGAUUGGAGCGGCCGAUAUCAGAUUAGCUAGUUGGUGGGGUAAAAGCCCACCAAGGCGACGAUCUGUAGCUGGUCUGAGAGGACGACCAGCCACACUGGAACUGAGACACGGUCCAGACUCCUACGGGAGGCAGCAGUGGGGAAUUUUGGACAAUGGGCGCAAGCCUGAUCCAGCAAUGCCGCGUGCAGGAUGAAGGCCUUCGGGUUGUAAACUGCUUUUGUACGGAACGAAACGGUCCUUUCUAAUACAAGGGGCUAAUGACGGUACCGUAAGAAUAAGCACCGGCUAACUACGUGCCAGCAGCCGCGGUAAUACGUAGGGUGCGAGCGUUAAUCGGAAUUACUGGGCGUAAAGCGUGCGCAGGCGGUUAUAUAAGACAGAUGUGAAAUCCCCGGGCUCAACCUGGGACCUGCAUUUGUGACUGUAUAGCUAGAGUACGGUAGAGGGGG